rnacentral:rRNA from 1 species
AGCGAACGCUGGCGGCAGGCCUAACACAUGCAAGUCGAACGAACCUUUCGGGGUUAGUGGCGGACGGGUGAGUAACACGUGGGAACGUGCCUUUAGGUUCGGAAUAACUCAGGGAAACUUGUGCUAAUACCGAAUGUGCCCUUCGGGGGAAAGAUUUAUCGCCUUUAGAGCGGCCCGCGUCUGAUUAGCUAGUUGGUUGAGGUAAUGGCUCACCAAGGCGACGAUCAGUAGCUGGUCUGAGAGGAUGAUCAGCCACAUUGGGACUGAGACACGGCCCAAACUCCUACGGGAGGCAGCAGUGGGGAAUCUUGCGCACUGGGCGAAAGCCUGACGCAGCCAUGCCGCGUGAAUGAUGAAGGUCUUAGGAUUGUAAAAUUCUUUCACCGGGGACGAUAAUGACGGUACCCGGAGAAGAAGCCCCGGCUAACUUCGU